CCUCCGAGGUAGGGGGAGGAGAAGAUCGCAGACGGCUGAAGAAGGCAAUGACGACGCUUCUGCCCCCACCCCAAGCCUGUCCCGUCGUGACGCCACGGCGAAGCUCGCAGGCGCAGCAGCUCCUGGCGCCUGUUGUAUCCGGUUGGUGCCUUUUCUCUCCCCCUCCUCCCUCUCCCCGUCUCUUCUUCCCUCCCGUCCGCCCACCUUUCUUAGAGCCGCCGUAGCUGUGCGCACGCCUGCUCCGCCUCUUGCGUGUCUGGUCGGCAGCGCCUCCGCUCUCUCCGGCUGCCCCAUGAAGCGAUGGCAGCGGCCAACUUCGGCAAGAUCCAGAUAGGAAUCUACGUGGAGAUCAAGCGCAGCGAUGGCCGAAUUCACCAAGCUAUGGUAACAUCCCUAAAUGAAGAUAAUGAAAGUGUAACUGUUGAAUGGUUUGAAAAUGGAGAUACUAAAGGCAAAGAGAUUGACCUGGAGAGCAUAUUUUCACUUAAUCCAGAUCUUGCACCUGAUGAUGAUACUGAACCUAGUCCAGAGACACCACCACCACCUAUUCCAUUAGCCAAAGUAAAUAGAAUUGUGAAGAGUCGACGAGCUGUGGCACCUAUUAAGAAUGAUACCUCUGCUAGAGAUAACAGAGUGGUUGGUUCUGCACGAGCACGGCCCACUAGGCUUCCAGAACAGUCUUCCUCCUCACAACAGAAUGGUAGUGUUCCAGAUAUAUCUCCAGUUCAAGCUGCAAAAAAGGACUUUGGACCCCCUUCACGUAGAAAAUCUAAUUGUGUAAAAGAAGUUGAAAAAUUGCAAGAGAAACGUGAAAAAAGAAGAUUACAACAGCAGGAACUUAGAGAAAAAAGAGCUCAGGAUGUUGAUGCUACAAACCCAAAUUAUGAAAUUAUGUGUAUGAUAAGAGAUUUCAGGGGAAGUUUGGAUUAUAGACCACUGACAACUGCUGAUCCUAUUGAUGAGCACAGGAUAUGUGUUUGUGUACGAAAACGACCACUCAAUAAAAAAGAAACUUUAACGAAAGACCUUGAUGUAAUAACAAUUCCUAGUAAAGAUGUUGUGAUGGUACAUGAGCCAAAACAAAAGGUGGAUUUAACAAGGUACCUAGAAAACCAAACUUUUCGUUUUGAUUAUGCCUUUGAUGACACGGCUCCUAAUGAAAUGGUUUACAGGUUUACAGCUCGACCAUUAGUGGAGACCAUAUUUGAAAAGGGAAUGGCCACCUGUUUUGCAUAUGGGCAAACAGGAAGUGGAAAAACCCAUACUAUGGGUGGUGACUUUUCAGGAAAGAACCAAGACUGUUCAAAAGGAAUAUAUGCACUUGCAGCUCGAGAUGUCUUUUUAAUGCUAAAGAAGCAAAACUAUAAGAAGUUAGAACUUCAAGUGUAUGCAACAUUUUUUGAGAUUUAUAGUGGUAAGGUUUUUGACUUGUUGAACAGGAAGACAAAAUUAAGAGUGUUAGAAGAUGGUAAACAGCAAGUCCAGGUGGUGGGAUUACAGGAACGGGAAGUCAAAUGUGUUGAAGAUGUUCUUAAGUUUAUUGAAAUAGGCAACAGCUGCAGCUUCAUUGUUUUUAAAAUUAGCCUUUUGCAUGGACUGCUGCCUCAUCAGACAAAAAUGCAAUCAGCAUUUUAUGUGACAUCUGGUCAGACAUCUGCAAAUGCACACUCAUCUCGAAGCCAUGCAGUGUUUCAGAUUAUUCUCCGAAGGAAAGGGAAAUUGCAUGGUAAAUUUUCUCUGAUUGAUUUGGCUGGAAAUGAAAGAGGAGCAGAUACUUCCAGUGCAGACAGACAGACACGGCUGGAAGGUGCUGAAAUUAACAAGAGCCUCUUAGCACUCAAGGAGUGCAUUAGAGCCUUAGGCCGAAAUAAACCUCAUACACCAUUCAGAGCAAGUAAGCUUACUCAGGUGUUAAGAGAUUCGUUCAUAGGAGAAAACUCCCGUACCUGUAUGAUUGCUACAAUUUCUCCAGGGAUGGCAUCAUGUGAAAACACUCUAAAUACAUUGAGAUAUGCAAAUAGAGUAAAGGAAUUUGGAAUUAGUCCUUCGGACAUUCCCUUCUCACAGGGUAGUGGCAGUCGCUCUGAUCUCUCUCCUUCCUAUGAGUAUGAUGAUGUUUCUCCUUCAGUCACCAGGGUGAAGGAGCUGACAGUUGAUCCUAGUGCUACAGGGGAUAUCCGUCCCAUUAUACACCACACUCCCAAUCAGAUUGAUGACUUGGGCACGCAGUGGAGCAUGGGGAGCUCUCCUCAGAGAGAUGAUCUCAAACUGCUAUGUGAACAAAAUGAAGAAGAAGUUUCUCCACAAUUGUUUACUUUUCAUGAAGCUGUGUCACAAAUGGUAGAAAUGGAAGAACAAGUAGUAGAAGACCACAGGGCUGUCUUCCAGGAAUCUAUUAGAUGGCUGGAAGAUGAAAAAGCCCUUCUUGAGAUGACAGAAGAAGUGGACUAUGAUGUGGAUUCUUAUGCUACACAACUUGAAGCAAUUCUAGAGCAGAAAAUUGAUAUUCUGAUCGAACUUAGAGGUGUGUAGUCCAAGUUCCAUCCCUGGCUGCCCAUACAAAUUGUCCUGGACUUUGUACGGUAGUAUAGCUACAAUCUGCUGCGAUUUGACUUACCUGGCUACUUCUUUCCGAAUUAUACUUAAUUCCUCGGCAAGCACAUCCUGCCCUAAGAGCUAUCAAUACUGGGGAUAAAGUGAAAUCUUUCCGAGCAGCUCUACAAGAGGAGGAACAGGCCAGUAAACAGAUCAACCCGAAAAGACCACGUGCCCUUUGAAAUGGGCCUUUGCUGCUAAAGGAAUCCACAAACCCUUACUGCUGUAGCAUACAUUUGUUACAAAACCGGUGGCCGUAAGAACUCAACUACUUGAAAGUGUGAAAACAUUAGAAAUGUCUGUGGAAAUGUCCUGUUUCUUAUUCACCUGAAUUACAUUUUUGUUUUUGUGUGAAAUGCUCCUAUGACAUCUACAAAAUGCUUCUAGACCAGUCAGUACAACCAUGCAGGGUUCAGAUCCAUGAAACACUUUGUUUAAAAUAUUUCAUUUAUUCAAAUCGUGAAUUUUACAUUUGGAAAUAUUUGCCAAGUUUUUAAUAAUGAAGUAGAACUGUGGCCACUAGAAAGUCACAAUAUUUCCUUUUAACUGUGUUCAGUUUUGUUACAAAGACUAGCUGUGCAGUUCUAAAUUGUGUUUGCGUGCAUGCACACCUCACUCAUGGUCGUAUAUAAUUUCUCUUCUACAGACAGCUGUGCUUACCUCUUCCCAUUCUGUGCCUUGAUGAAGGCUACUUAACCCUAAACAUCCUCUUUCUGAAGCACAGCCUUAAUAAACAACAUUACUUAGGCAAUAUUAAUUACUUUUAGUCUGUGUGCAUUUUUAAUGUGCUUUGAGACGUUUUUUUGGUAGCUAGAUCAUUCAUUUCACAGGAUGUGCCACAUCAUUUGAACAGAAACUGCAAGAGCUGUUAGAGUGGACAAACAGCUGGACAUUCUAUCCUCCUUGUAAAAAAUAUGGAAUCUAGAUUUAUUUGAAUACCAUAAAGAAUGGUUAUGCAAUUCAAACAUUUUUCUCAAGGAAAAAAAGAAUCAAAAAACAAAAAUAUAAAUUAGUUGAUGUAUAAAAAGGGUAAUGUUUAAGUACUGAGGAGAGUUGUGACUUAGGAUAAUGCUGAUAUGUAGUAUGUGGUAUGGGAUGAUAAUGCUGUCAGAAAAAAGGUACAAUCUGAGCUCUGUAUAUGGAUAGGAUAACUAUCAAAGUUCAAGGAUCCAGAUAAAGAAAUACAUAUUGGCUUUUCACCUACUGUUAAAAUUUGGCUUUUGAUCCAUGACAAACUUACAUGUACAUUAACUGCAGUUUGCAGGCAGUUUGAGUAGCUUUGUUGCUUUUUUUUUUUAAAAAAAAAAAAAGUAGUUAAUACCUAUAUUUCCCUUUAUAUACAGUGCCAACAGAUGAAAAGAGGGGUGAAAUUGCAUCAUUUGAGGAUUUGCAUAUCUCUACCUAGUGCUAGUUGAAAUCUAUCAAGUAUCAAGUACCUGAAUUCCCACAAUGAUUGCAUAUCAGCACUUUUUAGUUGGUGUCACACAAGUUACUUUUCCAAAUCAGUAUCCAAAAGAUUGACUUUCACAUAAGAACUUGUCAAAUGAAGAGUUAUAGACCCCUCUAGGAGUUUUCCCUGUUUCCAGUCUUCAUAUCGUCAGACUUUCACUUGGAACUGUUUAAAGAUUACUUUUUGAAAACAAACCUUGUUCAUUUGAGCCAGACUGGGAGGGAAAUAAAGGGAAUGCAAUGAAAAACAAGAUAAAUGAGACAGGAAUUCUCAUAGUGUUUAAUGUUUGCAUCUCCUAUAAGAAGUUCUUGUCGCAUUGUGGUUAAAAAUCAAAAAAACAAUCCUCCUGUGUGUAAACAUGAAAAGUGAAACAACAAUGUAGAUUUUACAUAAUGUAUUGAAUAAAUUAAGCUAUUAACUGAAUUACAGAUGAGAAUUUACUUCUAUGAAGAGUCUGUUCUGCUUUGGGAAGGGGUACACUUUGUAAACACAUGCAAGUUGUUGCACUACUAAAAAGGCCUCCGAUUUCAGAAUGAGUAUUUACUCCUGGAAAUGGCCAUUCUGUGCAAAUUUGUAAGGUAGGAAGAUGUUCCUCAGAUCCCUAUCCUGACUUUUGUUUUGCAGCAGAUCUCAAAGAAACAUCAUGGCUGGUCAGGUACCAGAUGGAAGUCAAAAUUAUGUCUAGAGGCUGUUAAGAGACCUUUGUGAUAGAGCCUGCUGUAAAUAUUAGAUUAACACUGAGACUGAAGCAGUGAGAAUUAAGAUAGGUAAACAAUUGAUAUGGCUGGUUACACCACUUGAAUUCCUGUAACCCGUUGCUCUGAUGGGCUGACAUUAUUUGGAUAGUACUCCGAGAAGCAUAUACUGUUUUGUGCGCUGUAAAACAAAAACAUUUAUAAAGAGCAUGAUGCAAAGCUCCUACAUUUGUUCCUUCUGUGUUGGUCUGUGAGUGUUGCUGUGGCUACUUAACCAUCACUCAAAUUGUUUUGAUAGGCAGUGAAGCAGUACUAGAGUUGUUAAAUGCCUCUUUCAGGGUGCCUGCAAAUUCAAGUACACUUGAAUAAAAUUAAGUUGAAUUUUGGAAAAGGUUUUGGUAAUGUUUCUUCUCUAUUUAUUGUGGUUUUAUGGAAAAAGAGAUGCCACCCAUGAAACACAUGACUCAUGUUUGUUAAUACAGAGUUAGGCCUUUACCCCUGCAUGAUGCUAUAAAGUUAAUAAUUACUGUUUUCAUGAAUCAUAAGACAAAUCAAAGUAGAUUUUUCUUUUGAUGGCCGUGAUACAAAGUUAACACAAUUUUAAUUGGGAAAAUUCUGCCUUGUCCUUAAUAAAAAAUAUAUGACUGUGCUGG